rnacentral:rRNA from 1 species
CCUACGGGGGCAGCAGUGGGGAAUAUUGGACAAUGAGGGCAACCCUGAUCCAGCAAUGCCGCGUGUGUGAAGAAGGCCUUCGGGUUGUAAAGCACUUUUGUCCGGAACGAAACGUGUCGGGUGAAUAUCCCGGCAAACUGACGGUACCGGAAGAAUCAGCACCGGCUAACUUCGUGCCAGCAGCCGCGGUAAU